rnacentral:rRNA from 1 species
UACAGAGGGUGCGAGCGUUAAUUCGGAAUUACUGGGCGUAAAGCGCGCGUAGGCGGCUUUGCAAGUCGAGUGUGAAAUCCCCAGGCUUAACCUGGGAACUGCAUUCGAGACUGCAUAGCUAGAGUAUGGGAGAGGGAAGUGGAAUUUCAGGUGUAGCGGUGAAAAUGCGUAGAUAUCUGAAGGAACAUCAGUGGCGAAAAGCGACUUCCUGGACCAAUACUGACGCUCAUGUGCGAAAAGCGUGGGGGAGCAAACAGG